UUGGGAGCCAGGAUGGGGGGGGCGCCUGGGUGGGAGCCCUGGGGCACCCCUGGGCUCAGAUGCCUCGCAGAUGAGGUCACAUCCUCUCCCUCCCCGGCUCCUCCGCGGAUGAAAGGCAAGAGGAGACUGAAAUGGGCUACGUCUUCUUUAUCCAUUCACGGACACUGAAGAACUGGGCUACAAUGGAGACAGUUCUCGGCGGACACAACAUCUUUGUUGGUAUGUGGUGCUGAGGAUCGAACCCGGGCCACACGCAUGCUAGGCGAGCGCGCUACCGCUUGAGCCACAUCCCCAGCCCCGGAAAUGCAUUUUUCAAUUAACCCAUAUAUCCAUGAAUAAAUAAUGCUUACAUGAUUCAACAUCAA